ACGGGAGGCAGCAGUGGGGAAUUUUGGACAAUGGGCGCAAGCCUGAUCCAGCCAUGCCGCGUGAGUGAAGAAGGCCUUCGGGUUGUAAAGCUCUUUCGGCGGGGACGAAACGGUCCGUGCCAACACCACGGACUAAUGACGGUACUCGCAGAAGAAGCACCGGCUAACUACGUGCCAGCAGCCGCGGUAAUACGUAGGGUGCAGGCGUUAAUCGGAAUUACUGGGCGUAAAGCGUGCGCAGGCGGCUCCCUAAGUCAGAUGUGAAAGCCCCGGGCUUAACCUGGGAACUGCGUUUGAAACUGGGGAGCUAGAGUGUGGAAGAGGGGGGUGGAAUUCCAUGUGUAGCAGUGAAAUGCGUAGAGAUAUGGAGGAACACCGAUGGCGAAGGCAGCCCCCUGGGCUAACACUGACGCUCAUGCACGAAAGCGUGGGGAGCAAACAGGAUUAGAUACCCUGGUA
rnacentral:rRNA from 1 species